CAAAAUAUGAAGGAAAACAAAAUAGAUUUCGGACCCUUAAAUUUCAGGAAAUUGUAUAAAUCAAUUAUUCAGUAAGAGAAGUAAGAAGAAAUUCAUUGAAUAAAAAUGAUAUCAUUCAAGAAAUUAAAAUGAAAGGACCAAUGAUCUGUUUUGUUGUCAUCUGCACUGCCCUUCUUCUCGGAAGUGUGACAUGUGAACCUAUGAAUGAAGCUGAAGCUCGCCACCAUCACCACCACCAUGGACAUCAUCAUCAUGGACACCAUCACCAUGGUCACCAUCAUCAUCACGGGCAUCACCAUCAUGGGCAUCACCAUCAUCAUGGGCAUCAUCACUGAUAAUUCAAGCAAAAAAUAUUAUUAUAAAUUCUAAAAAGAAUGAAGCCUUUUAUUAAAGAGCUUUGAUGAAAUAAACACCAUUAAAAUGCA